UAAAUUUUCAUUUUACCGCUCUAUAAAAAACCCUAGAAAUCUAUUCAGAUCCCCAAUUCCCCCUUUUGCCUCUCAUCCUCCUCCGCUCAAACUCCCUCUCCUCCCCUCUCACCUCCUUCUCUGUGACCAGGCCUAGCCGCCGCCCGAGUCCGCUAUCCCCCUCGGCCUCCCUCCUCCGCUAGUGGUCCCGUAGGGUCUCUAGCGUCCGCCAAGUGCUCGCUUUCUUCGCCUCCCUCUCCCCCCUUGACUCCGCCACCUUCUCCUUCCCCGUCUUAAUGGAUUGCUCUGCUCCUCCAAUUCCACCACCACCCCAUUAAGCCCUUCGCUUCGGGCCAAUGAGGCCCACGAUGGCCCAUCGGACUUCAAGUCCUACCUGCAGUACUCGGACUUCACUAACUACAUGUGUCCGGCACCGGCUUCUCCUCCUCCUUCAAGAACUACUCCGACGGCGAUCAACACCUUCUGCCGCUACAGCCGUGACUCCGUCGGCGACGAGGACUCCUCGCCUUCUGCUCCGUCUGCGGGAACGUCGUCACCACCAACUUCACCUCCUACUCCGCACUUUCUAUUUCUAUACUUAGCAAGCUGGAAGCAUGUACAAGAAUGUAAAGAAAAAGAUUGAGAGGGGCAUUGCUUUCCCAACUUGUAUUUCGGUCAACAACACUGCAUGUCAUUACUCACCAUUGGCCAGUGAUGAGACUAUCUUGGAAGAGAAUGAUGUUGUGAAAAUUGACAUGAGGGUGUCAUAUAGAUGGUUUUAUUGCGGUUGUUGCACACAUGUACUUCAAGAAGGACCUGUGAUUGGAAGAGCAGCGGAUAUGAUUGCAGCAGCUAACACUGCUGCAGAGGUUGCCCUGAGGCUUGUGAGAUCAUGGAAAGAAGUUACCUUGUCGAUUUAUUGGAAGUAAUACACUUAGUUUUGCAGCUUAUGGACAAGCUGCAGGCAUGCGGUACCUUGAGGGAACUUGGAUUUGAUUAUCUUGGAAGCAAAGAGCAGCUUGCCAUGAGGCUACAAGCAAACUGGAAUAUUUAAACAGUUGUUCCAUUCUUUCUUUUCUUUCACAUUUUCCUCUCUUUCCAUUGUGUUUCUUUUUUUCCUUCAUGGAUUACAAGCAAACUGGAAUAUUUAAACAGGCUUUUGAGCGUUGACUUGGAAAUGGAAAUGAAUGUAACUAUUUUGCAAUGGGAACAAAUUCUUUGUUUAUCAUAAUAUGCAACUUGUUUGGAGUAUAAUUUAAUGUU